GGUGAAUUUUCGCUUGCCUAGCUUGCUCACCUGUUAGUUAUGGGGAGAAACAAGGGUUACUUCCUGUCUUUUGUUAUUUGAUGUAGUUAUAUUUGCUUAGUGUUUUUUUCCUAAUGUCUUUUAACUUUAUUUCUAUGUACCAUUAAUUUGUUUAUGUUUUCGUUACUAAGGUUAAGGCAGCUUUAGAAGAGUGCAAGUUUCUCAACAUAAAGUUGUUGAAAUGGAACAUGGCAGGAUUGGGGAUUUAGUGUUAUGGGAAACCUUCAGGCAAAUAACCAGAUCGAAUAUUAGGUCUUCAGAAAAUUGGGGCUGCCAAUGAUACAAAAUAAAUUCACAAGGUUUCUGGAAUUAAUAUGAGUACAAGUAGGUGGGCUUAUUUGGAAAUUUUGAUGUGUCUGUUUAUAAUUCACUCCGAAUUGAAACACAAUAAUGUAGCUCCAAGAUGGAAUGCUCAAUUCAACUCAGUUCAACUGAGGAAGCAUGCUAAUCUC
rnacentral:misc_RNA from 1 species